AUGAACGCUGGCGGCGUGCCUAAUACCUGCAAGUCGCGCGAACGGACGAGAAGCUUGCUUCUCUGAUGUUAGCGGCGGACGGGUGAGUAACACGUGGAUAACCUACCUAUAAGACUGGGAUAACUUCGGGAAACCGGAGCUAAUACCGGAUAAUAUUUUGAACCGCAUGGUUCAAAAGUGAAAGACGGUCUUGCUGUCACUUAUAGAUGGAUCCGCGCUGCAUUAGCUAGUUGGUAAGGUAACGGCUUACCAAGGCAACGAUGCAAAGCCGACCUGAGAGGGUGAUCGGCCACACUGGAACUGAGACACGGUCCAGACUCCUACGGGAGGCAGCAGUAGGGAAUCUUCCGCAAUGGGCGAAAGCCUGACGGAGCAACGCCGCGUGAGUGAUGAAGGUCUUCGGAUCGUAAAACUCUGUUAUUAGGGAAGAACAUAUGUGUAAGUAACUGUGCACAUCUUGACGGUACCUAAUCAGAAAGCCACGGCUAACUACGUG
rnacentral:rRNA from 1 species